rnacentral:lncRNA from 1 species
CUUAAGGUUUUGGUGCAACACCCUGUUGAGCAACUCUUGACGUGAUUUGUCCGGUAGAUGCUAGGGGGAGUGUUUUCAGUGCAAUUUCCUAAUAUCUUUCUCUGUGCUGAAUUGUUUGGUUGGUUGUUGAGUUCUGAUAGCUUUGGGUCUCUGCUCCUCUAAUGGUUUCAUUAUGAGCAUGGGAAACCACACGAGAAUAUUUUGGAUCACCUCCAAAAGUUCAAUCUUGUGAAUUAUGGCCCAUCUAUUAAGAGCGAAAAUAACUUGACCCCAAAAAAAAAAAAGAGAAGUGAAAUGUGAAAAAUGAACGAAUGUGAAAAAUGAAUGAGAUAUGAUUGUAAAGGAAAUUGCAUUAGGAAAUUCACCCCUAGCGGAGAAUCGGGUCUGAUCGGAUUGAGUUGUAUCACCUUCUUGUUGCAUUUUUAAACCUUAACUUUGAGCAUCUGAUUGGGGACAUUGAUAUCUUGAAGGACUUGGAUUGGUUUGUGUUUGCUUGGUGAGAAGAAUCGCUUAUGGAUUUUCUGUCGAUGUUGUGACUGUUGCUUGAGGACAAGCAAGGAUUUAAGUGUGGGGGGGUUGUUUAGCCCUAUUUUGUGAUGAUUUUGUGAGUUUUCCUGCUGUGCUUUCGAGCUCGUUUCGUACCUUUUUGCUCUAUAUUUCAUGUGCUCGAUGAUCUUUUUGGAUGUACUAUUGUCGCGUGCAGGAUUCGCGAGUUGCCGAGCGUUUUGGCAUUGUUUCGAGCAUGUUUUGGAGUCAGG